CCUACGGGAGGCAGCAGUGAGGAAUAUUGGUCAAUGGACGAGAGUCUGAACCAGCCAAGUAGCGUGAAGGAUGACUGCCCUAUGGGUUGUAAACUUCUUUUAUAUGGGAAUAAAAUGUUCAACGUGUGGGAUUUUGUAUGUACCAUAUGAAUAAGGAUCGGCUAACUCCGUGCCAGGAGCCGCGAUAAUACGGCAGAUCCGAGCGUUAUCCGGAUUUGUUGGGUUGGAAGGGAACGUAGGUGGAUUGUUAAGUCAUUUGUGAAAGUUAGCGGCGCAACCGUAAAAUUGCAGUUGAUACUAGCAGUCUUGAGUACAGUAGAGGUGGGCGGAAUUCGUGGUGUAGCGGUGAAAUGCGUAGAUAUCACGAAGAACUCCGAUUGCGAAGGCAGCUUACUGGACUUCUACUGACACUGAGGCUCGAAAGUGUGGGUAUCAAACAGGAUUAGAUACCCUUGUAGUC
rnacentral:rRNA from 1 species